rnacentral:rRNA from 1 species
CGCGUAGGCGGCCGCUUGCGUCGGAUGUGAAAGCCCGGGGCUCAACCCCGGAACUGCAUGCGAUACGGGGCGGCUCGAGACCGAGAGAGGUGAGUGGAAUACCCAGUGUAGAGGUGAAAUUCGUAGAUAUUGGGUGGAACACCGGUGGCGAAAGCGGCUCACUGGCUCGGUUCUGACGCUGAGGCGCGAAAGCGUGGGAGCAAACA